CACGAGCUAGUGACACGGGAGCAUCACAUCGGCUCGGCUCGGGCGUCGGCGCGCGCUCUGCGGACGGAUGCGGGAGCACGCAAGAAAUCAUCGGGAGAGAUGCGUGACGCAGCGCGCAGGACCGGCGCCCCGCCCCCCGCGGUGCGUGUGCCGAGUUCCCCCGCGCCCGAGCCUGCUCCCGCCGCUCGUGCAAAAAAACAUCGAUAGCCGCGCUAGCUGCAGCCGGCGGACCGGGCGCCCGAACACGACUCCCGCGUGCAGCGCUGCUGCGGAGCGGUGCGUGUGAUGCAGGCGGUGCGUGCGGCCCGGGCGGCAGUCGCUCGUAGCGCGCGCCCACGGGGGGUCGCUCUCGCUCGCCUCGACGCGUCUCUCGCGGUGCACUCGCGACACCGGCUCCCGCCGCGCUCCUGCACCGCCCCGGUGCGCCGACACGUCCCGCCGAGAGCAUAUUCACACUUUUAAUUCAUGCCGGCCGAGUUCGUCGCGUAGUGCCGCUGCGAAUUUAAGCGGACCCGACGCACCUCUCGGAGGUGAUCCGGUCCCUUUAGGUGCGUUUAAUUGAAUACCUUCCCCGGUAUCGAGUGAGCGGUCCCGAACAGUCGCGCAACAAGUGUUGGCGGCAGUACGAAGUGCCUCGCAUUUUUGUUCCCGUAUUUUGCAAUUAAACUCUUGAGAAAUUCUGAAUAUUUUGUUGAAUCAGUGGUUUGUGAUUAAAAACGUGCUGUGCUUCCCCUCGUCAUGUUUUAAAGUGAUGGGUGAGGUGUGCGCGGUGUCGGCCGCGCGGGACGGCGUGGCGGGCGCGGU